rnacentral:rRNA from 1 species
UACGGAGGGUGCAAGCGUUAAUCGGAAUUACUGGGCGUAAAGCGCACGCAGGUGGCUGAGUCAGUCGAUUGUGAAAGCCCUGGGCUUAACCUGGGAAUUGCAGUCGAUACUACUCGGCUCGAGUAUGGGAGAGGGCAGUGGAAUUCCCGGUGUAGCGGUGAAAUGCGUAGAUAUCGGAAGGAACAUCAGUGGCGAAAGCGGCUUCCUGGACCAGCACCGACGUUCAGGCACGAAAGCGUGGGGAGCAAACAGG